rnacentral:rRNA from 1 species
CCUACGGGGGGCAGCAGUGGGGGAUAUUGCACAAUGGGGGAAACCCUGAUGCAGCGACGCCGCGUGUGGGAAGACGGUCCUAUGGAUUGUAAACCACUGUUCCCAGGGACGAAGAUGACGGUACCUGGGGAGGAAGCUCCGGCUAAUUACGUGACAGCAGCCGCGGUAAUACGCAGGGAGCGAGCGUUGUCCGGAAUUACUGGGUGUAAAGGGAGCGUAGGCGGGGAUGCAAGUUGGGUGUCAAAACUACCGGCUCAACUGGUAGUCACACUCGAAACUGGAGCUCUUGAGUGAAGUAGAGGCAGGCGGAAUUCCUAGUGUAGCGGUGAAAUGCGUAGAUAUUAGGAGGAACACCAGUGGCGAAGGCAGCCUGCUGGGCUUUUACUGACGCUGAUGCUCGAAAGUGUGGGGAGCAAACAGGAUUAGAUACCCUAGUAGUC